CAUAGACUUUGGAUUGUUUUGUUUUUUAUUGUAUUAAUUUACAGGAUGUUUUUAAUUUCUUCUUUGAUCUCAAUGGUAACCCAAUCAAUAUUUAAUUUCAUGAUACUCAGCUUCCAAGUGUUUGAAUAUUUUUGGAUUUUUUUAUUGUAGUUGAUUUCCAAUUUUAUGC